rnacentral:lncRNA from 1 species
CCCAUCUUGAAUUUUCUCCAGGUCCCUUUUUUACCAGCAUCCACUGUGCCCUAGCUACCCUGACCUUCUUUCUAUUCCUAAAACCCACCGAACUCCCACCCUAGAGACCUGUGCUGACUAUUCCCUCCACCAUGACUUUUUUCUCUCUCAUCUUUGCACAGAUAGCUGCUUCUUAAGGUUCAAAGUUUAACUUAAUGUGUUCCUGGCCACCUGAACUACUAAAGUCGUCACCCAGACAUCAUCACACCACCAUGUUUUAAUUUCCUGAACAUCAUGUGUAACCCUAGGAUACUGAGCUGUGAGUCCCACUGGAAUAGAGCGCCAGAAAGCAGGACCAUUUUCUAACUUGCCACAGUGUUAAGAGGGCAGAGAACAGAGCCCAGCACUGGGCAAGGGUCACAGGAUACAUGACAACUCAGGUCAUGAUCUUGGAGUCCUGGGAUCAAGCCCCACAGUGGGCUCCACACUCAGCACAGAGUCUGCUUGAGAUUCUCUCCCC